GUGGUCCAGUGGUUAAGACUCUGCACUUCCAAUGCAGUGGGCAUGGGUUUGAUCCCUGAUC
rnacentral:tRNA from 1 species